AAUGUCAGUAAAAUUGUUUGUUUUGUUUAUUUUUAAAUACUUAAAAGUUCCAAAUAAAGUUGCAUGUGUAUAAAUUCACUAAGUUUAACACUUUAAAGAUUCAUCUUACAUUGAAAACGGUUCAUUAAUUCCAAAGACUUGUGAAAAUUUCUUCAUAUUGGCCAGAAGCUUUUAGGGUGCUCCUGUGGACAUAAGCAAAAUACACAUACAAUAAGUGUGUGACUGUGUAUGGGUACAUCUGUGUGAUCUGUGAUAAAUUCUGUGCGAUUAAAGUACAAAAUUGCUGCAAAUUAAGGAAGUAACUUUAAAAAGGAAAUGUAAUUGGUAAGCAUGUGAAAUGUAUCAGACAAUGCCCAACCAACCAACCAACCAGCCGACCAACCAACCAACCCACCAUGCAACCAGCAGGAGAAUCAAGUCACGUUGCCAUAUUCAGUGCAAACAAGCCAGCCGAACGGAUAAGGGACCAUGGACAAUGGACAACACGUCGUAUGCGUGAUCUUAACAUCUGACGGUGAAAUGGGCCUCUUUUGCAAGUUUAGGGGCAGGGGG